rnacentral:rRNA from 1 species
UACGUAGGGGGCAAGCGUUGUCCGGAUUCAUUGGGCGUAAAGAGCUCGUAGGCGGCUUGGCAAGUCGGGUGUGAAAACUCCAGGCUCAACCUGGAGACGCCACCCGAUACUGCCAUGGCUUGAGUCCGGUAGGGGACCACGGAAUUCCUGGUGUAGCGGUGAAAUGCGCAGAUAUCAGGAGGAACACCGGUGGCGAAGGCGGGUCUCUGGGCCGUUACUGACGCUGAGGAGCGAAAGCGUGGGGAGCGAACAGG